GGCCCUGUGGCAUAAUCGGAUAAUGCGUCAGCCUUCUACUCAAGAGACAGCGAGCUGAAGAUUGCGGGUUCGACCCCCGCCAGGGUCA
rnacentral:tRNA from 1 species